rnacentral:rRNA from 1 species
AGAGUUUGAUCCUGGCUCAGAACGAACGCUGGCGGCAGGCCUAACACAUGCAAGUCGAGCGCAUCUUCGGAUGAGCGGCGGACGGGUGAGUAACGCGUGGGAACGUGCCCUUCCGUUCGGGAUAGCCCCGGGAAACUGGGAUUAAGACCGGAUACGCCCCUUGGGGGAAGGAAGGAUCGGCCCGCGUCUGAUUAGGUAGUUGGUGGGGUAACGGCCUACCAAGCCUACGAUCAGUAGCUGGUUUUAGAGGAUGAUCAGCCACACUGGGACUGAGACACGGCCCAGACUCCUACGGGAGGCAGCAGUGGGGAAUCUUAGACAAUGGGCGCAAGCCUGAUCUAGCCAUGCCGCGUGAGUGACGAAGGCCCUAGGGUCGUAAAGCUCUUUCGCCUGUGAAGAUAAUGACGGUAGCAGGUAAAGAAACCCCGGCUAACUCCGUGCCAGCAGCCGCGGUAAUACGGAGGGGGUUAGCGUUGUUCGGAAUUACUGGGCGUAAAGCGCGCGUAGGCGGAUCGGAAAGUUGGGGGUGAAAUCCCGGGGCUCAACCCCGGAACGGCCUCCAAAACUGUCGGUCUUGAGUUCGAGAGAGGUGAGUGGAAUUCCGAGUGUAGAGGUGAAAUUCGUAGAUAUUCGGAGGAACACCAGUGGCGAAGGCGGCUCACUGGCUCGAUACUGACGCUGAGGUGCGAAAGUGUGGGGAGCAAACAGGAUUA